rnacentral:rRNA from 1 species
GAUGAACGCUGGCGGCGUGCCUAAUACAUGCAAGUCGAGCGAACAGAUGAGGAGCUUGCUCCUCUGACGUUAGCGGCGGACGGGCGAGUAACACGUGGAUAACCUACCUAUAAGACUGGGAUAACUUCGGGAAACCGGAGCUAAUACCGGAUAAUAUAUUGAACCGCAUGGUUCAAUAGUGAAAGACGGUUUUGCUGCCACUUAUAGAUGGAUCCGCGCCGCAUUAGCUAGUUGGUAAGGUAACGGCUUACCAAGGCAACGAUGCGUAGCCGACCUGAGAGGGUGAUCGGCCAGACUGGAACUGAGACGCGGUCCAGACUCCUACGGGAGGCAGCAGUAGGGAAUCUUCCGCAAUGGGCGAAAGCCUGACGGGGCAGCGCCGCGUGGGGGAUGAAGGUCUUCGGAUCGUGAAACUCUGUUAUUAGGGAAGAACAAAUGUGUAAGUAACGAUGCACGUCGUGACGGUACCUAAUCAGAAAGCCACGGCUAACUACGUG